rnacentral:sRNA from 1 species
AAAAAAUACAAAAAAC